CCUACGUGAGGCAGCAGUGGGGGAUAUUGCACAAUGGGGGGAACCCUGAUGCAGCGACGCCGCGUGGGUGAAGGAGCGUUUCGGCGCGUAAAGCCCUAUCGGCAGGGAAGAAGGAGGACGGUACCUGACUAAGAAGCCCCGGCUAACUACGUGCCAGCAGCCGCGGUAAUACGUAGGGGGCAAGCGUUAUCCGGAUUGACUGGGUGGAAAGGGGGCGCAGACGGCAGCGCAAGCCAGGAGUGAAAGCCCGGGGCCCAACCCCGGGACUGCUCUUGGAACUGCGCGGCUGGAGUGCAGGAGGGGCAGGCGGAAUUCCUGGUGUAGCGGUGAAAUGCGUAGAUAUCAGGAGGAACACCGGUGGUGAAGGCGGCCUGCUGGACUGCGACUGACGUUGAGGCCCGAAAGCGUGGGGAGCAAACAGGAUUAGAUACCCGGGUAGUC
rnacentral:rRNA from 1 species